CCUACGGGUGGCAGCAGUGAGGAAUAUUGGUCAAUGGCCGGAAGGCUGAACCAGCCAUGCCGCGUGAAGGUCAGUGCCCUUUGGGCGUUAAACUUCUUUUGUGCGGGAGCAAUAAUGGUCACGUGUGGCCAGACGAGAGUACCGUACGAAUAAGCAUCGGCUAACUCCGUGCCAGCAGCCGCGGUAAUACGGGGGAUGCAUGCGUUAUCCGGAUUUAUUGGGUUUAAAGGGUGCGUAGGCUGUGAGGUAAGUCAGCGGUGAAAUGCCCCCGCUCAACGGGGUGAAGUGCCAUUGAUACUGCCUGGCUGGAAUGCGGAUGCCGUGGGAGGAAUGUGGGGUGUAGCGGUGAAAUGCAUAGAUAUCACACAGAACACCGAUUGCGAAGGCAUCUCACGAAUCCGCGAUUGACGCUGAUGCACGAAAGCGUGGGUAUCAAACAGGAUUAGAUACCCUUGUAGUC
rnacentral:rRNA from 1 species